UUCGGCUGGGCGAUUCAUACCAGACUGCCGCAGCAAUGUGGAGGGAAGGUGGGGAGUGACGUCAAGUCAGCAUGCCCCGUACGCCCUGGGCUACACACAUACUACAAUGCAUGGUGCAGACGGAUGCAAGACCGCGAGGUGGAGCUAAUCCGCGAAGGCCAUGCUCAGUGCAGAUUGCAGGCUGCAACUCGCCUGCAUGAAGGCGGAAUCGCUAGUAACCGUCGGUCAGCAUUACCGACGGUCGAAUACGUUCCCGGGCCUU
rnacentral:rRNA from 1 species